GGUUUGGUGGUCUAGUGGUAUGAUUCUCGCUUAGGGUUCACCCUACAGCACUGCUUGCGAGAGGUCCCGGGUUCAAUCCCCGGCCAAACCC
rfam:Fungal sp. No.14919 DNA, contig: Contig0046.